UCCACGCCGUAAACGAUGAAUACUAGGUGCAGCGGGUAUCGACCCCUGCUGUGCCGUAGCUAACGCGUUAAGUAUUCCGCCUGGGGAGUACGGCCGCAAGGCUAAAACUCAAAGAAAUUGACGGGGGCCCGCACAAGCGGUGGAGCAUGUGGUUUAAUUCGAUGCAACGCGCAGAACCUUACCUGGGCUUGAAAUCCUUUGACAAUCCUAGAGAUAGGACUUUCCCUUCGGGG
rnacentral:rRNA from 1 species